UACGUAGGGUGCAAGCGUUAAUCGGAAUUACUGGGCGUAAAGCGUGCGUAGGCGGUUGUGCAAGACAGAUGUGAAAUCCCCGGGCUCAACCUGGGAAUUGCAUUUGUGACUGCACGGCUAGAGUGUGUCAGAGGGGGGUAGAAUUCCACGUGUAGCAGUGAAAUGCGUAGAGAUGUGGAGGAAUACCGAUGGCGAAGGCAGCCCCCUGGGAUAACACUGGCGCUCAUGCACGAAAGCGUGGGGAGCAAACAGG
rnacentral:rRNA from 1 species